CACACAACAACUACAUCCCUCCCCUACAGAAACCCCAGAGCACAGCACCUCACCAUGGACUGGACCUGGAGGAUCCUCCUCUUGGUGGCAGCAGCUACAGGUGCCCACUCCCAGGUGCAGCUGGUGCAGUCUGGGGCUGAGGUGAAGAAGCCUGGGGCCUCCGUGAAGGUCUCCUGCAAGGCUUCCGGAUAUACCUUCACUGACUACUACAUGCACUGGGUGCGACAGGCCCCUGGACAAGGGCUCGAGUGGAUGGGAUGGAUCUACCCUGGUAAUGGUAACACAAAGUACGCACAGCAGUUCCAGGGCAGAGUCACCAUGACCAGGGACACGUCCACGAGCACAGCCUACAUGGAGCUGAGCAGCCUGAGACCUGAGGACACGGCCGUGUAUUACUGUGCACGACACACAGUGUGAAAACCACAUCCUGAGAGUGUCAGAAACCCCGGGGAGGAGGCAGCUGUGCUGACAUGGAGGAGACGACAGGGAUUAUUAGAUUGGAGACUUUCUUAGAAAAUUACAUUAAGUCAUUAAAGAAAAGACAAUAUAAAUAUGAAUUUGAGAAAUUUUAGUUAUUUGAGAGAUUUUUCAUACAACAUUCAUUCUGAGAGCAAAUUUCAGGGACUAGAGAAUGGAUGAAAUUGAUAAAGCUGAUACAGAA